rnacentral:rRNA from 1 species
AUUGAACGCUGGCGGCAGGCCUAACACAUGCAAGUCGAACGAGUGGCGGACGGGUGAGUAAUGUCUGGGAAACUGGCUGAUGGAGGGGGAUAAGUACUGGAAACGGUAGCUAAUACCGCAUACCAUCAGAUGUGCCCAGGUGGGAUGGGCUAGUUGGGGGGGUAACGGCUCACCAGGGCGACGAUCCCUAGCUGGUCUGAGAGGAUGACCAGCAACACUGGAACUGAGACACGGCCCAGACUCCUACGGGAGGCAGCAGUGGGGAAUAUUGCACAAUGGGCGAAAGCCUGAUGCAGCCAUGCCGCGUGUAUGAAGAAGGCCUUCGGGUUGUAAAGUACUUUCAGCGGGGAGGCGUUACCCGCAGAAGAAGCACCGGCUAACUCCGUGCCAGCAGCCGCGGUAAUUC